AGCGCCUCUGGUGGGCCGCCUCCCGCAGGCCUGGUGUGAGCCUGGGGUCCGUUCUCACAGCUGGAUCUGGGGUCUGAAUGCCGCGCCCUCUGGAGAGCCACAGAUGGGUCUCCGCUGAUGCUUCUCUCAAUUUCCUCUAAGAGCGAGAGCUCCGGGAAAGGAGCCGAUCCUGGUGGAAGACUACAGGUCUGAGUCCACUGGACGAAAAACGAGGCUCCUUGGAUUAGAGACCAUCCUGAGGACAUCCUUGGGAGCCAUGUGCUGAAGAUGGCCAAGCCACAGGAUGAAAGGAGCUGCAUCUUUGAGUCACCACUGGAGAAAGCAAUCA
rnacentral:lncRNA from 1 species